UACGUAGGGUGCAAGCGUUAAUCGGAAUUACUGGGCGUAAAGCGUACGCAGGCGGCUGGGUAAGACAGGUGUGAAAUCCCCGGGCUUAACCUGGGAACUGCAUUUGUGACUGCUCAGCUAGAGUCCGUCAGAGGGGGGUGGAAUUCCACGUGUAGCAGUGAAAUGCGUAGAGAUGUGGAGGAACACCGAUGGCGAAGGCAGCCCCCUGGGAUGAGACUGACGCUCAUGUACGAAAGCGUGGGGAGCAAACAGGAUUAGAAACCCCAGUAGUCC
rnacentral:rRNA from 1 species